CACGUAGGGCGCAAGCGUUAUCCGGAAUUAUUGGGCGUAAAGAGUGCGUAGGCGGUUCUUGAAGUCCGCUGUGAAAGCCCCGGGCUUAACCUGGGAAUGGCAGUGGAAACUGGGGGACUUGAAUUGAGCAGAGGGGGGUGGAAUGCCGCGUGUAGCAGUGAAAUGCGUAGAGAUGCGGCGGAACACCGAUGGCGAAGGCAGCCCCCUGGGCUUAAAUUGACGCUGAGGCACGAAAGCGUGGGGAGCAAACAGG
rnacentral:rRNA from 1 species